rnacentral:rRNA from 1 species
CCUACGGUGGGCAGCAGUGAGGAAUAUUGGUCAAUGGACGGAAGCCUGAACCAGCCAAGUAGCGUGCGGGAUGAAGGCCCUACGGGUCGUAAACCGCUUUUGCACGGGGAUAACACCCUCCACUUGUUGAGGUCUGCAGGUACCGUUCGAAUAAGGGCCGGCUAAUUCCGUGCCAGCAGCCGCGGUAAGACGGAAGGCCCGAGCGUUAUCCGGGUUCGUUGGGCUUAAAGGGAGCGUAGGCGGGCGUUCAAGUCAGCUGUAAAAUCCGGCGGCUCAACCGCGCCCCGCAGUUGAAACUGGACGCCUUGAGUUCACAACAGGCAGGCGGAAUUCGUGGUGUAGCGGUGAAAUGCAUAGAUAUCACGAGGAACCCCGAUUGCGAAGGCAGCCUGCCGGGGUGCGACUGACGCUGAGGCUCGAAGGUGCGGGUAUCAAACAGGAUUAGAUACCCGAGUAGUC